UUUGGGGGGAAGGCCAUAUAGGCCGAAGUACAUGAUUCCAUGCUUCCAAGAAAAGCAUCUAGAGAGAGAAGUAGUGCCCGUACCGCAAACCGACACAGGUAGAUGAGGAGAGAAUCCUAAGGCCGGCGGAAGAAUUGCAGUUAAGGAACUAGGCAAAUUGACCCCGUAAGUUCGCGAGAAGGGGUGCCUGCGAGAGCAGGCCGCAGAGAAUAGGCCCAAGCAACUGUUUAGCAAAAACACAGGUCUCUGCUAAAGCGUAAGCUGAUGUAUAGGGGCUGACGCCUGCCCGGUGCUGGAAGGUUAAGGGGAACACUUAGCGCAAGCGAAGGUGUGAACUUAAGCCCCAGUAAACGGCGGCCGUAACAAUAACGGUCCUAAGGUAGCGAAAUUCCUUGUCAGGUAAGUUCUGACCCGCACGAAUGGCGUAAUGACUUGGGCACUGUCUCAACUGCAAAUCCGGCGAAGUUGUAGUGCGAGUGAAGAUGCUCGCUACCCGCGAUUGGACGGAAAGACCCCGUAGAGCUUUACUGUAGCUUAGCAUUGAAUUCCGGUAUUGUCUGUACAGGAUAGGUGGGAGACUGGGAAACUAGGGCGUCAGCCUUAGUGGAGUCAACCUUGGGAUACCACCCUGACAGUACUGGGGUUCUAACAGGACGCCAUGAAUCUGGUGACUGGACAUUGUUAGGUGGGCAGUUUGACUGGGGCGGUCGCCUCCUAAAAAGUAACGGAGGCGCCCAAAGGUUCCCUCAGAACGGUCGGAAAUCGUUCGUAGAGUGCAAAGGCAGAAGGGAGCCUGACUGCGAGACAUACAAGUCGAGCAGGGACGAAAGUCGGGCUUAGUGAUCCGGUGGUACCUCGUGGGAGGGCCAUCGCUCAACGGAUAAAAGCUACCUCGGGGAUAACAGGCUGAUCUCCCCCAAGAGUCCACAUCGACGGGGAGGUUUGGCACCUCGAUGUCGGCUCGUCGCAUCCUGGGGCUGUAGUAGGUCCCAAGGGUUGGGCUGUUCGCCCAUUAAAGCGGCACGCGAGCUGGGUUCAGAACGUCGUGAGACAGUUCGGUCCCUAUCCGUCGCGGGCGUAGGAAAUUUGAGAGGAGCUGUCCUUAGUACGAGAGGACCGGGAUGGACUGACCUCUGGUGCACCAGUUGUUCCGCCAGGAGCAUGGCUGGGUAGCUAAGUCGGGAAGGGAUAAACGCUGAAAGCAUCUAAGCGUGAAGCCUCCCUCAAGAUGAGAUUUCCCAUAGCAUAAGCUAGUAAGACCCCUUGAAGAACACAAGGUUGAUAGGUCAGAGGUGUAAGUGCGGUAACGUAUUUAGCUGACUGAUACUAAUAGGUCGAGGGCUUGACC
rnacentral:rRNA from 1 species